rnacentral:rRNA from 1 species
CCCGCCGGCGACCGGCGCACGGGUGAGUAACACGUAUGCAACCUGGCCGCCACAGGGGGAUAACCCGCGGAAACGCGGCCUAAUACCCCGUGACGCCACCGGAGGGCAUCCUCCGGUGGCCAAAGGAGCGAUCCGGUGGCGGAUGGGCAUGCGGCGCAUUAGCUAGACGGCGGGGUGACGGCCCACCGGGGCGACGAUCAGUAGGGGUUCUGAGAGGAAGGUCCCCCACAUUGGAACUGAGACACGGUCCAAACUCCUACGGGAGGCAGCAG